UCUCCCUCGGUACAAAAGCAUAUUACCUGGCACCACUUAAUUAUAUCUUUUCCUCUCUUUCGUUGUUUUCAAAGCAUUAGCAUCUUGCUUUUGCUUUCGCUUUCGUUUUCAGUCUUCACAAGCUACCUCAAAGCUGUCAUUCUGUUUCUCAAUAAACCGCCAGAGAGAAAGAGAGAUGGGAAGACAAUCAAGACAACACAUUUCAGGUUAUUUGAUUUGGAACAAUAUUCCAGAGAUUUGAGAAUGUGGCUAUAUUCAAGCACUAGUUCAUCUAUUUCAAGUGAUUUAAUAGUUUGGAGAUAUCCUAGGAGCAUUGUCCCUUAAGAUCAGAGUAUAGAAUUAUUUGGAACUACAAAGGAUUCAACUAUGCCGGGUAAGUGCAUUAUUGGAAGCCAAGUAAAAGCAGAGUUCACUAUUUCUCAUAGAAACUCCUCUUCAAUGAAAAAAAAGAAUGAAGGUUUGGCCCCGUUGUACCCCUUAGGCAAUAAUAACUCAGUAUUCUCAUUCAAUCUAAAACACUUGGAACAAAAACUAAAAUAAAUUAGAAAGAUAUUCUUGAACUUGAAGUUCUUACCA